rnacentral:rRNA from 1 species
GUCUCCUUGUAAAAUUAAAGAUAUAGGGAGUCGAACCUGCCCGGUGACUUAAGUGUUAAACGGCCGCGGUACCCUAACCGUGCAAAGGUAGCAUAAUCAUUUGCCUUUUAAUUGGAGGCUGGUAUGAAUGGUUUGACGAGAGCUAAGCUGUCUCUUUUAAAAUAAAUAGAAUUUAACUUUUAGGUGAAGAGGCCUAAAUUAAUUUGAGGGACAAGAAGACCCUGUUGAGCUUUAGUGAAGUUAUAGAAUUAAUAGCACUGAUGAGGUGAAAAGUUAGUAAUUUAUUUAGUGUGUAUGUGUGUAGUUGGGUAUAACUUUGUCUAUAAUAAAUCUUUAGUUGGGGCGACUGAGGAACAGAAAAAGCUUCCUUGAUAGAUUAGUAAAAUGAGUAUAGGCUAUUAUAAAUUUUUAUUUUUGCUUGAUAAGGUGAUCCAAAAAUUUUGAUUAGUGGAAAAAGUUACCACAGGGAUAACAGCGUAAUCUUUCUGGAGAGACCUAAUCGAAAGAAGGGUUUGCGACCUCGAUGUUGGACUAAGAUACCCCGGAGGCGUAGAAGUUUCCACAGGUUGGUCUGUUCGACCAUUAAAAUCUU